rnacentral:rRNA from 1 species
CACGUAGGCGGGUUGCUAAGUCGGAGGGUGAAAUCCUGGAGCUUAACUCCAGAACUGCCUUCGAUACUGGCGAUCUUGAGUCCGGGAGAGGUGAGUGGAACUGCGAGUGUAGAGGUGAAAUUCGUAGAUAUUCGCAAGAACACCAGUGGCGAAGGCGGCUCACUGGCCCGGUACUGACGCUGAGGUGCGGAAAGCGUGGGGAGCAAACAGGAUUAGAUACCCUGGUAGUCCACGCUGUAAACGAUGGAUGCUAGCCGUUGGCGAGCUUGCUCGUCAGUGGCGCAGCUAACGCUUUAAGCAUCCCGCCUGGGGAGUACGGUCGCAAGAUUAAA